UUUAUCAUAAUUCUACAAACAGCUUUUGGAUCAUAUAUAAUCUAUAUGCUAGAUUCUUCCGUGUUACUGGUUUUGGUGAAGUCAUAUCUUUUGAACAAGACGUAAUCUACACUUUGUCUAAAUACUUGUCUCAAUCGAUUCUUAUAAUACUCCUUCUCUCCCUUUCUCCCCCUCUAUGAAGAAAUUACCAAUUCAUCUGUCUAAACUAUCUAGAAUUAUGAUGUACUACUAGACACUGUUUCUCAGUCUUUUAUGAUGUUUUUGUGAGAAUUAUUGAUGAUGAAAUUAAUUUCUGCAUCUGCAUAUCUGCCAUUCAUAAAUACGUGCAACUUAUAUCAAAGUUGUGCUUUCAUAAUGUGCUGUUAAAGCCUGCUAAAUAGUUUUAAUAGGCUGGGAUUACUGUAACAUGACAUUCUGUGCUCUGAAUUUUUCAGCAAAGGAAAAUUGAUAGUUGACUUGGAAUUGGUCUCAAAUGAGUUAGUCUAGACAUGUAACCAUCUGGCCUAAACAACGUUACAUGCUUUCGCAACAUACGUUUAUUAGAAUACCACUGAAAGUCAAUAUUUACAGAUGGAUGCAGUUAGUGCAGAUCUUGUCAUAAAUCGUGCAGAUUUUAACUGGUGGUCAUUCCAUGAUAUUAAUUCGUCAGAUAUUCGUGGCUGUGGAGGUUUGCUGGACCUAUGGCAAUUAUAAUGUCUGAAGACACCGCAGGGUAUUCUUGGUGACACCGUCAGCAAUUAAGUUCAGCAUCUGGGGCCUCUAAAUAACUUUUGUGCUUGCUGUGGGCCGAUUUACUAGACUUCAAUGCUCAGACCUAAGAAUGAGAAUACCAUAUGAGAAUCUACCUUCUGUGGCAGGUUGAUAGCCAUCUGUGAGGACAUUAAUGAUGCGAGAGCAGAGGGUGAGCUUGGAGUUGAAGAGGUUCUUUACUGGACACUAAUAAAGAUUUACAGGUCGCCACACAUGCUUCUGGAGGACACCAAACCAGACGAGCACUGACACAAACCACCCUGCAGUUUCACUUCACAAGGAUAGAUGCUGACACAACGUUUGACCAGCACCAAGUUACUCGAGACCACGGCAUGGAUGGAUUAUGAUUUCUCUUUCCCUUCCAAGCUACAUAAUAUCAUUUCUGCAGAGGAUUCGCUGCUUCGAUUUUGAUGAAGACUUAUUUGAGAUUGGCCCUCAAACUGUAAUUUCACCGUAGGACCUUUAUAAUUAUGACUUCUUUCCCCGCAUGGCCAAUGUAGGGCAGUACAACUAGCAAAUGAAAAUUACGGGGUCAAAGUAGAUAUUUUCCUGUGAUGCACACAAGCUUACACCCACCCGAGAUUCCUGUACAGAACUUUUUUGGGGCUGUUAAAAGUGUCUGCAACUGUAUUCUUGAUGUAUUGAAUCAAUUCUUGCAAAAUUUAAAAAGA